CAAUAUUUCUCUGACAAUUGAUACUACUAGUAGCCGUCACAGUCACGCAUACAUUUUCGGUUUUUGCGCAUAAAAUUCAUCAAUUUUUUCCUGUUUUUUGCCUGAAAAAUCUCAUAAAUUUAUCAGUGAAUUGGCCUCAUAUAAACUAUGUAAAUAUGGUAAAACGAUUUCAAGCCGUGGCAGUAGUUUUGCAGUAGUUCUUGAACUGUGUUAUUUUGAAUGUACAUAUGGUCAUUUGUUGGCUUUUCAACGGCUCAAUCAAAAUGGUUCCUUAUCAUGAACCAGGUGAAAAAUACGGUCAUUAUUUCUUGAAAAUCCUGGACGAGCAGAGUAACAGAUUGUUGGCACUGGCCGACAGAGUGGGCGACGAUAUUGAAAUGAAAUUUAAAAAUUUAAAAUUUUAAAAAUAAUAAAACGAAAUUAUCGGCAAAUUAAGAUCAGCAUCCGGCAAGGCCAAACUGCUGGUUUCGCAGAAGAUACAACAAUUCAAAGGGCUGUGUACUAAUAAUAUUAACCAGUGUGCAGGAGAAGCAUUCCCGAUUACUAAUCAAGACUUGCAAGGCUUUUGGGACAUCGUCAUGUUGCAAGUGGACCAGGUGGAUAAGAUUUUUGAAGAUAUAAACACAUUGCGGCAGAAUAAUUGGAUCGAGGAUACCACGAAAAAAGUGGAAGUGAAAAGGCGCUUCAACAAAACCACGCAAAAUAGUAUGAAAGCCGAAGAUGAAUGAGGCAGCUGAACAAGCUUCAGGAUAGUUGAUUCGACAAAUUAUUUUCCGUGUGAACUUUUCUUGUAUUGUGCUUAUGUAAAAUUUCGGGAAAAUCCUAUCGAAAAUCAAUAGCAAAAUAAAUUGCGGUCCUGCGUUGGCGAAAUAA
rnacentral:lncRNA from 1 species